GGCUUCGUGGUCUAGUAGUAUGAUUCCUUCUUAGGGUUGUUAAUCACGUGGAGGAGGUCCCGGGUUCAAUUCCCGGCGAAGCCC